AUUAAAUAAAAUUUGUUAUAAACAAAAUGAAACAAUUGCAUAUAAAAAAUGCAAUGAAAUGUUCAAAUAUUGCUAUUGAUAGAAGACGACAAUAGUAAUUACAAAUCGCUAUAUUUAAUUUUAAAAAAUGCUAUAGUUAAAAACUUAUAAUAUCAUUUUGGCGACGCUAUAAUACAAAUUUACAAUUGCAUAUCAAGAACCGCUAUUAAUAAUAAAAUAUCAAUAGCACAACAAAAAUCCGCUAUGAAAUGUACGAGACCUAUUAUCGCGGGCGAUAUUGGAGCGCUUUCUACAACGCUAUGGUAGCGUCUUAUAGCGCUUUAGCGGUGCCAUCAAAACCCUUAUUUCCUGUAGUG
rnacentral:lncRNA from 1 species